rnacentral:rRNA from 1 species
AUUAGGUAGUAACAACCAUUUGAGUCUGGGAUUUCUGAAUGGGGAAACCCACGUGCAUAAGCACGUAUCCUUACCUGAAUACAUAGGGUAAGGAGGCGAACCGGGGGAACUGAAACAUCUAAGUACCUCGAGGAAAAGAAAUCAACCGAGAUUCCGAAAGUAGCGGCGAGCGAAAUUGGACUAGCCCUUAAGCUUUACACGCGUUAGACGAACGGUCUGGAAAGUCCGACGAUACAGGGUGAUAGUCCCGUAGUUG